rnacentral:rRNA from 1 species
GACGAACGUUGGCGGCGUGCUUAAUACAUGCAAGUCAACUGAAGCAGUGGUAGCAAUAUCGCUGUGGAGGUGGCGCACGGGUGAGUAACACGUAGGUAAUCUGCCUUCAGGUCUGGCAUAACUCCGGGAAACCGGGGCUAAUAGCAGAUGAUGCAGCGGCUCGACAUCGAGACAGUUGUUAAAGCUAUGGCGCCUGAAGAUGAGCCUGCGUCUGAUUAGCUAGUUGGCGGGGUAACGGCCCACCAAGGCAACGAUCAGUAGCUGGUCUGAGAGGAUGAUCAGCCACACUGGAACUGAGACACGGUCCAGACCCCGACGGGGGGCAGCAGUAAGGAAUAUUGCUCAAUGGGAGAAAUCCUGAAGCAGCAACGCCGCGUGAGGGACGAAGGGCUUGUGCUUGUAAACCUCUGUAGUGAGAGAAAAAAAUCCCAAUCUUUGGGACAUGAUGGUAUCUCAAAAGUAAGCCCCGGCUAACUACGUG